rnacentral:lncRNA from 12 species
AGAAGACAAGCUGAGAUGAACAUAUAUGAACUUUUGACAUUAUAAAGGAAGUUCUGGGUGCUGGAUACAGAAUAAAUGCACUGAAUACAUCAGCAGAAGAAGGAAGGAAGAAGACACCUGAAGAGAUAAUGCAAAACUCACAAAAGAUAAAGGCAGGAAGCAAGAAGGAACUCAGAGCAAGAGAAGUAUUCUUACUGGAAAGCAAAGGUAUUAGGAAAUAAAUGCUAACUGGCCAUCCAACAUUAGAAGUCAUUAAGCCACCAAGGCACACUAUAUUGCUCUGUAGUAAUGGAUAUUCAUAAAGAUAACACUGAAGACCAACAAAAAUAGACCAGUGCUCUGUGCUAUAGAAAACAAAACAGGGAUUUAUCCAUUUUCAAAAGGCUUUUUUAAAAAUAAAAUUUUAGUGAAUAAAUCUGAACUGUCUGAA